rnacentral:rRNA from 1 species
AACCGGAUUAGAUACCCUGGUAGUCCACGCCGUAAACGAUGUCGACUUGGAGGUUGUGCCCUUGAGGCGUGGCUUCCGGAGCUAACGCGUUAAGUCGACCGCCUGGGGAGUACGGCCGCAAGGUUAAAACUCAAAUGAAUUGACGGGGGCCCGCACAAGCGGUGGAGCAUGUGGUUUAAUUCGAUGCAACGCGAAGAACCUUACCUGGUCUUGACAUCCACGGAAGUUUUCAGAGAUGAGAAUGUGCCUUCGGGAACCGUGAGACAGGUGCUGCAUGGCUGUCGUCAGCUCGUGUUGUGAAAUGUUGGGUUAAGUCCCGCAACGAGCGCAACCCUUAUCCUUUGUUGCCAGCGGUCCGGCCGGGAACUCAAAGGAGACUGCCAGUGAUAAACUGGAGAAAGGUGGGGAUGACGUCAAGUCAUCAUGGCCCCUACGACCAGGGCUACACACGUGCUACGAUGGCGCAUACAAAGAGAAGCGACCUCGCGAGAGCAAGCGGACCUCAUAAAGUGCGUCGUAGUCCGGAUUGGAGUCUGCAACUCGACUCCAUGAAGUCGGAAUCGCUAGUAAUCGUGGAUCAGAA